GAUGAACGCUGGCGGCGUGCUUAACACAUGCAAGUCGAACGAAGCACUUUAUUUGAUUUCCUUCGGGACUGAUUAUUUUGUGACUGAGUGGCGGACGGGUGAGUAACGCGUGGGUAACCUGCCUUGUACAGGGGGAUAACAGUUGGAAACGGCUGCUAAUACCGCAUAAGCGCACGGCAUCGCAUGAUGCAGUGUGAAAAACUCCGGUGGUAUACGAUGGACCCGCGUUGGAUUAGCUAGUUGGUGAGGUAACGGCCCACCAAGGCGACGAUCCAUAGCCGACAUGAGAGGGUGACCGGCCACAUUGGGACUGAGACACGGCCCAAACUCCUACGGGAGGCAGCAGUGGGGAAUAUUGCAAAAUGGGCGAAAGCCUGAUGCAGCGACGCCGCGUGAGCGAAGAGGUAUUUCGGUAUGUAAAGCUCUAUCAGCAGGGAAGAUAAUGACGGUACCUGACUAAGAAGCACCGGCUAAAUACGUG
rnacentral:rRNA from 1 species